GGGGACGUAGCUCAGUUGGGAGAGCACCUGCCUUGCAAGCAGGGGGUCGGGAGUUCGAAUCUCCUCGUCUCCA
rnacentral:tRNA from 2 species